rnacentral:siRNA from 1 species
GAAGUAUAAGCCAACACAUCGCCA